rnacentral:misc_RNA from 1 species
GCAGAAUCCCUUUUGCAAAUUCUGGGAAUCCAGUGAUGUCCUUGGUUGCCUUUCUGGCUUCUGCUGUUGGACCAAGAGUUGCAGCAGCAUGUGCCCAUGCGUCCUUGGCAGCAUUGUCUGAGGAUAAUAGNNNNNNNNNNNNCUGAGAAAUUACAUGGUAGAGAAGGCAAUUUUCAGGGAGAAGUUGCAAAUCCAAUUCAACAAAAGGAAGACAACGUGCAUGGUUCACAGGUUCCAAAUGAGGCGGAGGGUGUUCUUUUAUCUGCAGAAAAAGUCAAAGCUGCUG